rnacentral:ncRNA from 1 species
CUUUUUUUGGGUUUUAUUCUAGCUCGGAGUGAAUGCUAGCAACAUACUUUACACAUGCAAGUUAUACAUAUGUCCUAUAUUAAGAUAAUAAUUUUAGAAUUAUAACUAGAUGUUUAUGUAGCGAACGGGUGUAUAAAAUGUUAAUAUUAAACGUUACCUAUCUUUUAAAGAUGUUUAGUUUUUUUAAAACUAUCAAACUUUUUAGCUUUAUGACUAAGUAGGGAUAGAUACAUUAACAUAGUUUUAGGUAGUUGGUUAUUGUUAAAUGUGUAACCAAGCCAAUAAUGCUUAGCUGGAUUGAGAGAUUGUACAGCCACAUAGGGACUGAGAAACGGCCCUACCCUUAUUUAAGGUCAGCAGUGGGGAAUUUUGGGCAAUGAGCAAACGCUUGACCCAGUAAUGUUGCAUGGAUGAAGAAGAUGAUUGUCGUAAAUUCCUAUUUUUAUUGAACAUAAUGAUCUAAUUUAAGAACUUCAGCACCGGCUAAUACUCGUGCCAGCCGCCGCGGUAAUACGAGAGGUGCAAGUGUUACUCUUCAUGACUGGGCGUAAAGGGUAUGUAGAUGGUAAUCUAAAUUAUAGAUGGAACUAUGAAUAAUUUUUAAUCUCUAUAAAAUUAGAUUACUUUAGAGUCAGACAU